GAAAAUAAAAGUUAGAAAACAUACCAUUUACUGUCGAGAGACAGUAUCCCCAUCCAUGAUCAAGGUCGUGCCUUCCGAAUCAAAAGUAAGAUUCGGAUUUGAAAUUAAUUUGGCUAUUUCCUCCGUGGACUCAGCUAAAGGCACUCUGGAAUUCCCGGAAGCUUUAAAACAACUUCCCCGGCCACGCAACUCAUUGGAAGCUUUUCAACUAUUACGCCCAUUCAAGUCUGUACCUCCAUAUCUCUCUCUAGAAAAAGGAAUUCCAUCACCUGUCCUUCCCCGAGAUAGAUUAACUAAACUAUUAUUUCCUUUCUUGUGAGAAGCGUCAUUAAAGCUAAUUGCAGAGUGCUUCCCGGGAUCCAAUACAUCAUCAGAAAUGGAAACAGGGGUCCCCCAAUAACCUUCGAAGGCAGGGUUAAAGUGUGCUUUAAUGUUGUCGAUCGGUCUAAUAAUUAAACCCUUUGAGCCUCUUUGAGAAAAUCCCAGCUAACAACAUUCUUUGAAGUCACGUCUUUUCAAGAAGAAUUUUGAUUUGAAGUUCAUGUAAUAUCAAAAUUCAAAUUAGAAUUAAAAGCAAAAUUAUCCAAGUUGAUAAUUUCAUUCGGUUUAUGCGCAGCGCAUUGCCAGGCCUCUUCUCCAAAUUUUUCCCAUUAAUUCUAGCAUAAUGUUGGCCCAAAGAGCCUUCCUUAGCCACCUUCAAAGAAGCCCAAUAACCAGACGGCCCAAAUCUAUCUUUUUUGAACCACCCGCAUCAGCCUCUUUGGAUGACCCAUUAGUCAAAAUGGGUUUGUUACUUGGACCAGCACAAGAGUCUAAAACCCCCCAAAUGAAUAUUCCCAACCCUAGCAUUUAAUCCACCAGCUCAUGCAGCAUUAAAAUCAUUAUUUUCCACCGACAAAAGAUUCUCAACAGCCAUAUCACGAUUAUUGCUAUUUUCGCUUUUAUCACCCCUUCCAUUAACGCCGAGAACCUAGAAGCCAACGGUUCCUUUUGAGAAAUUGCUCCGUUAUUCACUCCUUUGUUUACGCCUGCGUUCCUCAGACCUUGCCACGAUCUUCUCUCUACCAGCAUCCAAGGACCGAAAUCUGGCUUUGCUUCUCCAGCAGCUUCACCAACGGCCUCGACUAAGCCAUCUUUCACCAUUUCCGACAGGUGAAUAGAGGUCCGAUUCGCAAUCACCUCCAGGUAUAGAUCCUUGACAUGCCCAUAUUUCUUGCAACUAAAACAAACAGUGGGAAGAGCCUCAUACUCCACCCUCUGAACGGCACCAUCAACUAAAGCCUGAGAAAUUAGAGGCUUCUUGAGGUCUAAAUAAACAACAAGACGAUCAAAACGGCCUCUAGAUCUAUUAUCCGUCUGGAAAUCCAAUUUGGCUACCUUUCCAAUAAGUUCCCUAAUAGCCUCCACAAUUUGCCGACUAAACAAAAACCCCGGAAGACCCGGCAGCUGAAUCCAAGCCAAAACCACAUUGGGAUACGGUUGCAUGUGGUCUAAGGUUGGACGAUGAGAUAUUGCCCAAAGAUGAUCCAAGGUCCCUGUGAUAAAACAUGAUCAUAGUCAGCCCUAUUCAAAAAACAAACCAGGUAAUAACCAUUUUCAAUAUCCAUGAGAUUAAACGAAGAACUAAGUUUCCACAAGCUGAUGAUACGAUUAUGUAAAGUAUUAUAACCAAUACUUCGCCCUAAGAGUUUGAUAAUCACUGUUAGUUCCAUUUCUUUAAACAGAAUUUCUUAAACACGAAAAACUAAUGGCUGGGAUCCCAUUAACGAUAGAAGUUUGCAUGUCGUCUGCAAGUAAGUCAAGAUCUCCAUCACUCGCACUGUCUCCUCCAACGGUAGAACCAUUGUGAUCCAACAUAUUAUUAUUCGGGACUCUACCCAAAAACUUAUCUUUCCACGAAGGCUCUGAAAUCAGGUUAGGGUCAACGACCAUGUCUUCUAAAAUUUCACUAGCCCGGGUCUUAAACCUCACUUUCUUAGUGGUUUGAUCCUUAACAGAAUGAGGAUCCCCAUCAUCUCUGUUAACUAUCGCCAGCAAAGAAGGAGAGAGAUCCUUAGUCAUUUUUUCCACUUUAUUAUUGUAACUUUUUGAAAAUCAACCAAACUUGGGAAUAAAGGGAUGAACUUCAUAUAUAUUGUUUUGAGAGCAUUACGCCUUCUCUUUUUACUAUUUGGAAAUGCAAAUUGCAUUUAGUCAGCAAUAAUUCUACUAAUGCAUCAAUCAAGAAGACAAUAAUUGCAUUGAAAAAUUAGAUGAAAUCCUAGAUCCAAAUUUGAUGAGAUAUUCUUUUGGGGAGUUCUUGAAAUUUGUGAAGUUCUUUUGUCUCCCAGAAUCGUUGGGACUUUGAUCACCCACCAAAUACCCAACGGAAAAACGAUCAUAACUUUUUCCUUUUUAAUUAUAUCAAAAUUUUCAUUUCUGAUUGGAACCUUCUUUUCUUUUUCCAACAAUU
rnacentral:lncRNA from 1 species